rnacentral:tRNA from 1 species
GAGGGGAUGGUUGAGUGGUUUAAAACAGCGGUUUGCUAAAUCGUCACAUAAAAAUAGUUUUGUGUCAUGGGUUCGAAUCCCAUUUCUCUCA